rnacentral:rRNA from 1 species
UACGUAGGGGGCAAGCGUUGUCCGGAUUUAUUGGGCGUAAAGAGCGUGUAGGCGGCCAAGCAGGUCCGCUGUGAAAACUCGAGGCUCAACCUCGAGACGUCGGUGGAAACCGUUUGGCUAGAGUCCGGAAGAGGAGAGUGGAAUUCCCGGUGUAGCGGUGAAAUGCGCAGAUAUCAGGAGGAACACCAAUGGCGAAGGCAGCACUCUGGGACGUGACUGACGCUGAGACGCGAAAGCGUGGGGAGCAAACAGG